UAGCACCUGAACACAUCUUUAUGUGACUUGUAGCACUCAGAAGCAAUAGAGAGCACUGCGGGGAAUGAAGAGGAUGCCACUCUUCAGUCUUCGGUACUUACUGACGAGGCCAGCAUACCGGUGAAUACUGAAAAUCUGGAUGAAGAGCACCGAGCUGACCAUGAUCAAGUGGAGCUGGAAGAUCAAGAGACGAAGGAUGGAGAUACAUCAAGCAAAGGUCUCCCAACUGGAGGCUGCGUGAACAACACAGAACAGUCAGUCUUGCCAUCAGUUGAGGCCGUGGCCGGAGGUGAGAUGGAGGCUGCAGACAGGAGUGAGAUGGAGAACGCGGCCACGGACAGGGAUGAGAUGGAGGCCAUGGCUGGGGUUGAGAUAGAGGUUGCAGACCGGGUUGAAAUGGCGGCUGCUGACAGGGAUGAGAUGGUGGCUGUAGUCGGGCCUGUAGCUGCAGUCAGGCCUGUGAUGGUGGCUGUAGUCGAGGCUGGGGCCACAGUCUGGCGUGCGAUAGUGGCAGUAGGUGGGCCUGUUGACACAUUCAGG
ensembl:lncRNA